rnacentral:rRNA from 1 species
AGAGUUUGAUCAUGGCUCAGAACGAACGCUGGCGGCGUGGAUAAGACAUGCAAGUCGAACGCUUAUUUCACUGUAGCAAUACAGUGGAGUAGGAGUGGCGCAAGGGUGCGUAACACGUGGGUAAUUUGCCGUGAAGACUGGGAUAACUUGCUGAAAGGCGAGCUAAUACCGGAUGUGGAAAUUGGAAGGCAUCUUUUGAUUUCUGAAGUUGGGGACCGCAAGGCCUGACACUUUACGAUAAGCCCGCGGCCUAUCAGCUAGUUGGUGAGGUAACGGCUCACCAAGGCUAAGACGGGUAGCUGGUCUGAGAGGACGACCAGCCACACUGGAACUGAGACACGGUCCAGACACCUACGGGUGGCAGCAGUCGAGAAUUUUUCUCAAUGGGCGCAAGCCUGAAGGAGCGACGCCGCGUGGGGGAUGAAGGGUUUCGAUCCGUAAACCCCUGUCAUUUGCGAACAAACCCUGUGGUUUAAGAGGCGACAGGUUGAUUGUAGCGAAAGAGGAAGGGACGGCUAACUCUGUGCCAGCAGCCGCGGUAAUACAGAGGUCCCAAGCGUUGUUCGGAUUCACUGGGCGUAAAGGGUGCGUAGGUGGCUUGGUAAGUUUGAUGUGAAAUCUCCGGGCUUAACCCGGAAAUGGCAUUGAAUACUAUUGAGCUGGAGGUUUGGAGGGGGGACUGGAAUUCUCGGUGUAGCAGUGAAAUGCGUAGAUAUCGAGAGGAACACCAGUGGCGAAGGCGAGUCCCUGGACAACACCUGACACUGAGGCACGAAAGCUAGGGGAGCAAACAGGAUUAGAUACCCUCGUAGUCC